UCGGCAGCAUAUAGAUCAUUAAGCGUCCGUUGUUCUAAGCUGUCAAGGUGUUCGUUUAUUUUAAUUCGAACUUGUUUUAUUUCGUCGUAAAACUUCUGUCUUUGUACUUGGAUUUCAGCAAGAUUUUGUUUUCUAUCUUUAACGACUCUCUCGAAAUUUAUUUUAAUAUCUUUCAGAUUUAGAUCAAGACUUUCCAAUAAAGCCGAAGUCUUUGCGGUUUCUAUGACUUUCUCCAGUGAUAAUAUCCCCAUACACUUAUCAUGGGUAUACUGAAUACACAGUGGACAGCAGAGACUUUCGUGUUGCAAACAAUAAUUCUGGAAUUUUCUGUUAUGUUCUGAACAAAACUGUGAAAUAUUGGCGAUCGAUGGAGGCAAUUGUUUAUAGUUGUCGAUAAAUAUGACUCCAUGGUAACGUAGAGCUUUUGAUGCAUUGUGAAAAUUAAGACAUUUGGAGCACAGUCCUUCGUCGCAUUCAGGACACCAGAACUCUGCAGUUGUAGUUGAGUACUGAGACUCAC
rnacentral:lncRNA from 1 species